rnacentral:rRNA from 1 species
UACAGAGGUCCCAAGCGUUGUUCGGAUUCACUGGGCGUAAAGGGUGUGUAGGAGGUCAAGCAAGUCUGGCGUGAAAUUCCGGCAUUCAAUGUCGGAACUGCUCUGGAUACUGCUUGACUAGAGUAUCGGAGAGGAGAACGGAAUUCCUGGUGUAGCAGUGAAAUGCGUAGAUAUCAGGAGGAACGCCGACGGCGAAAGCAGUUCUCUGGAAGGUAACUGACUCUGAAACACGAAGGCUAGGGGAGCAAACGGG